ensembl:ncRNA C27A12.12 ncRNA
AAAAAGAAACUGAAGAGAGUGGGAUUCGAACCCACGCCCCCGAAGGGACUGGUGCCUUAAACCAGCGCCUUGGACCGCUCGGCCAUCUCUCCGACGACAGCAACAGGAGCGAAGUGUGUAGAGCAGCAGGUGGAAUAU